AAAAUAGAGCGCUAGGGUUCCGAUUGUCCGCUUCGCAGGCAUCGACAAUGACUGGUCCGAGAGCACUCAACCUUCUGGUUGGUAUCCCCGUUGAUGCCCCCGGCGGAAGGUCACACGGCGGGAUAAAAGCCCGGGAGAU
rnacentral:sRNA from 2 species